UACGGAGGGUGCAAACGUUGCUCGGAAUCAUUGGGCGUAAAGCGCACGUAGGCGGCCUGUUAAGUCGGGUGUGAAAGCCCUCGGCUCAACCGAGGAAGUGCAUUCGAAACUGGCGGGCUUGAAUAUGGAAGAGGGUCGCGGAAUUCCCGGUGUAGAGGUGAAAUUCGUAGAUAUCGGGAGGAACACCAGUGGCGAAGGCGGCGCCUGGGCCAAUAUUGACGCUGAGGUGCGAAAGCGUGGGGAGCAAACAGG
rnacentral:rRNA from 1 species